GCCGUGGUGGCACAACCUGGUACUGCGCAGGUCUUGAAAACCUGUUUCCGCAAGGAUAUCCCGGUUCAAAUCCGGGUCACGGCG
rnacentral:tRNA from 1 species